rnacentral:rRNA from 1 species
UGGGGAAUUUUGGACAAUGGGCGAAAGCCUGAUCCAGCAAUGCCGCGUGUGUGAAGAAGGCCUUCGGGUUGUAAAGCACUUUUGUCCGGAAAGAAAUCCUUGGCUCUAAUACAGUCGGGGGAUGACGGUACCGGAAGAAUAAGCACCGGCUAACUACGUGCCAGCAGCCGCGGUAAUACGUAGGGUGCAAGCGUUAAUCGGAAUUACUGGGCGUAAAGCGUGCGCAGGCGGUUUGCUAAGACCGAUGUGAAAUCCCCGGGCUCAACCUGGGAACUGCAUUGGUGACUGGCAGGCUAGAGUAUGGCAGAGGGGGGUAGAAUUCCACGUGUAGCAGUGAAAUGCGUAGAGAUGUGGAGGAAUACCGAUGGCGAGGGCAGCCCCCUGGGCCAAUACUGACGCUCAUGCACGAAAGCGUGGGGAGCAAACAGGAUUAGAUACCCUGGUAGUCCACGCCCUAAACGAUGUCAACUAGUUGUUGGGGAUUCAUUCCUUAGUAACGUAGCUAACGCGUGAAGUUGACCGCCUGGGGAGUACGGUCGC